GAACUCCAGCAUGAGGACACUUACUCGUCUCUUGUUGUUGGGUAGACGCUUCGCGCUUUUGCAGUUGCCACAGUGGCAGCCAAGGACUACUGGCAGCAUGAGGCGAACUGCAGCACAGAGCGGUGCCCGCUCGUGAGGCGGCGGGUGUGCGGCUGUACUUGCGACAUGGCCACCUGCCGCACCUUCGACAGCCUGUGCUUUCUGCACAACUUCAACUGCCACAACUCCCCCGAUUUUUACUUCUUCAGAAACGGGACGUGUGAGAGCUGGCGGAGGAGGUGGCACCGACGUCAUUCUCGGAAAAAUUUCCGUCAUAAUGACCUGGAAGUUUCCAUAAGGGGUUCUGUACAUUUUACACUGGGCGAAGACAUCCUAUCCGGUCUCACAAUAGGUCUUUCAUAAUUCUGAUGCUCAGAAGCUUUGUUCGGAACAGGUUACUGCUACAUACAUCGAAAUUGGACCUGAAGAAGUUGCCACCAAGAAGAGCUAUGUACUGAAAAGCGAACACUGAAGUACGAAAGACAAAAAAACACAAGGGGGGAUGUUGUAGUAAAUCUGCGUCCUUUUAAUUUCAUUUUAGUUCACACCAUUAACAUGAUGGUAAAGACGGACAUAAGGUUUAGCUAACCUAUGUUCCUCGCAUUUCUUCGAAUUUUCUAUCUUCUCUUUAAGUUCCUAAUUUACAAACCGAAUCCUUGAUGGCUAUGUGAAAACAGAAACAUUAAUCUCAUAGAAACAAUUCAAAAUAAAAAUUGUCGUCGAUGUCAAGAUAACAAAUUUUGUAGCUGUAUUUUCGCAGUGAAUAACGUAGAAAUGCUAGACUCCUAUGGUUUUAUUUGUCGAGGAUAUAGGAAAACCUAAAAUUUAACUUACAUGUUUAACGAGGAAUAGUUACCAGCAAAGAACAGGUAUUUUAUAGGUGUGUGAUAUAAGAGAAAUGAAUCAUGAUUGUUACAUCGUCUCCUUUCAAUGGGAAGGAGAUUCGCCUGCUUCGUCACAGGAAAAGUAGUUACCAACAUUUCCUUGGUAUUUCGAUGCUUCUUUUACAGUUCGAUCUGUUUAUAAAACUUCUUUGGUUAUUCUUCCUCGUUGCAUCCCAUUCAAAUGGGAGAGCCAUUGUUACAAUGUCACAUUUAGAUUUACUGUAGCCAUGUUCCAUGCAUCGUAUGGAGAGGGGUCAACGGGAAAUGUAAAGGAAACGUACAAUAUAGUUAAAUGAGUUAACAGUA